CUAGUACUCCCUCCGUUCGGAAUUACUUGUCGUCAAAAUGGAUGUAUCUAGAUGUAUUUUAGUUUUAGAUACAUUCAUUUCCGAGACAAGUAAUUCCGAACGGAGGGAGUACGUA
rnacentral:pre_miRNA from 1 species